rnacentral:rRNA from 1 species
AUUGAACGCUGGCGGCAUGCCUUACAAAUGCAAGUCGAACGGUAACAGGUCUUCGGAUGCUGACGAGUGGCGAACGGGUGAGUAAUACAUCGGAACGUGCCCGAUCGUGGGGGAUAACGGAGCGAAAGCUUUGCUAAUACCGAAUACGAUCUACGGAUGAAAGCAGGGGACCGCAAGGCCUUGCGAGGACGGAGCGGCCGAUGGCAGAUUAGGUAGUUGGUGGGAUAAAAGCUUACCAAGCCGACGAUCUGUAGCUGGUCGGAGAGGACGACCAGUCAAACUCGGACUGAGACACGGCCGAGAGUCCGACGGGAGGCAGCAGUGGUGAAUUUUGGACAAUGGGCGGAAGCCUGAUCCAGCCAUGCCGCUGUCAGGAUGAAGGCCUGCUGGUUGGACACUCCUUUUGUACGGAACGAAAAGACUCUGGUUAAAACCUGGGGUUCAUGACGGUACCGUAAGAAUAAGCACCGGCUAACUACGUGCCAGCCGCCGCAGUAACAC